rnacentral:rRNA from 1 species
GGAUUAUGUUUAAAAUCAAAUGAUUUGGCGGUAUUCUAUCUUUAUAGAGGAACUUGGGCAGUAAUCGAUAAUCCUCGUUUUAUCUUACCUAGAUUAAUGUUUGUAUAUCGUUGUUGUCAGAUUACUUUUGAUAAUCUAUAAGUUUUCUCUUUUGAUUUUAUGUGUUAUUUAAUUGACUUAAUAGUCAUGACUUCAAAUCAAGGUGCAGUAAAUGUCUAUGGUUGUACUGAGUUACUUUUAGUAAGAAGUUGAUAAUGAGUUGAAAAUUUAUUUGACAUUGGAUUUAUAAGUAAAUUUUUAUUAAUAAGAUAAGUUGAAAGGAGGUCUGGAAUAUGUACAAAUCGCCCGUCACUCUGGUUUUAAUAUCAGAUAAGUCGUAACAAAGUAGAUGUAAGGGAACUUGUAUCUAGAUGA